rnacentral:tRNA from 1 species
GGGGUUGUGGCUCAGCGGUAGAGUGCUCACCUUGCAUGUGUGAGGCCCUGGGUUCAAUCCUCAGCACCA